UACGUAGGUGACCAGCGUUGUCCGGAUUUACUGGGCGUAACGAGCGCGCAGGCGGUCGUUCAAGUCGCGUGUGAAAGCCCCCGGCUCAACUGGGGAGGGUCACGCGAUACUGAUCGACUCGAAGGCAGGAGAGGGUAGUGGAAUUCCCGGUGUAGUGGUGAAAUGCGUAGAUAUCGGGAGGAACACCAGUGGCGAAGGCGACUACCUGGCCUGUUCUUGACGCUGAGGCGCGAAAGCUAGGGGAGCAAACGGG
rnacentral:rRNA from 1 species